UACAGAGGGUGCGAGCGUUCAUCGGAAUUACUGGGCGUAAAGCGCGCGUAGGCGGCUUUGCAAGUCGGGUGUGAAAUCCCCAGGCUUAACCUGGGAACUGCAUUCGAGACUGCAUUGCUAGAGUAUGGGAGAGGGAAGUGGAAUUUCCGGUGUAGCGGUGAAAUGCGUAGAUAUCGGAAGGAACAUCAGUGGCGAAAGCGACUUCCUGGACCAAUACUGACGCUCAUGUGCGAAAGCGUGGGGAGCAAACAGG
rnacentral:rRNA from 1 species